GAGGGAGAAAGCCUCUCCGCUUGGGCAGGCGACAGCUUGGAAGCCUUUGUUCCCAGGCGCUGCGUUGGGUCUGGGUCCCAUCAGUACCGGGUGCCAGCAUCCUAAGCAGCGGGAGGCGCGUUGGCUACUCGCGUCUGACAGUGGACCCCAGACGUCCCCGUGCCUUCCCCUGCACAAGCAGAUCAGGGACCGCGAGGUGCGCCCGCGGUCGCCCGCGGAGCAGAGAGCUGUCUCCCGGGCUCGGGCGCCGGGUGAUUUUUCUCCCAGCUGGGGAAGGCGCCUCGGUGAACCCGCACCUGCAACUUGUUUGGUUUCCUCUCCCGCAGCGUGUGCAGCGGCGGCAUCAAAGUUUCUCUGUCUUCCCGGGGAAUCUGCCGUUUGGAUCGAUCCUCCCCGCUCGGUGUCCCCAGGCCUGCCGGGAAGCGAAUCGCCCGGCGCGCGGGUGAGAGGCGCGGCAGGAGCGGCGUGGUAG
rnacentral:lncRNA from 1 species